GACGCGGUGGCACAGUGGUUAAAUGUGCUUGACUCAGGAUUGAAAAGCCCUGAGUUUGAGUCCUGGCCUCGGCU